GAUGAACGCUGGCGGCGUGCCUAAUACAUGCAAGUCGAGCGAACAGACGAGGAGCUUGCUCCUCUGACGUUAGCCGCGGGCGGGUGAGUAACACGUGGAUAACCUACCUAUAAGACUGGGAUCACUUCGGGAAACCGGAGCUAAUACCGGAUAAUAUAUUGAACCGCAUGGUUCAAUAGUGAAAGACGGCUUUGCUGUCACUUAUAGAUGGUUCCGGGCCGGAUUAGCUAGUUGGUAAGGUAACGGCUUACCAAGGCGACGAUGCGUAGCCGACCUGAGAGGGUGAUCGGCCACACUGGAACUGAGACACGGUCCAGACUCCUACGGGAGGCAGCAGUAGGGAAUGUGCGGCAAUGGGCGAAAGCUUGACAGAGCAACGCCGCGUGAGAGAUGAAGGCCUUCGGAUCGUAAAACUCUGUUAUGAGGGAAGAACAAAUGUGUAAGUAACUAUGGACGUCUUGACGGUAUCUAAUCAAAAAGCCACGGCUAACUACGUG
rnacentral:rRNA from 1 species